rnacentral:ncRNA from 1 species
GACUCAUCCAGAGAGGUGGAGGGACCGGCCCGAUGAUACCUCGGCAACCACAGAGAUUAAUGCAGGUGCCAAUUCCGGCAGACCCCGAUUUGGGACGUUCUGGAAGAUGAGGU